CCUACGGGUGGCAGCAGUGAGGAAUAUUGGUCAAUGGACGCAAGUCUGAACCAGCCAUGCCGCGUGCAGGAAGACGGCUCUAUGAGUUGUAAACUGCUUUUGUACGAGGGUAAACGCAGACACGCGUACCUGUCUGAAAGUAUCGUACGAAUAAGGAUCGGCUAACUCCGUGCCAGCAGCCGCGGUAAUACGGAGGAUUCAAGCGUUAUCCGGAUUUAUUGGGUUUAAAGGGUGCGUAGGCGGUCGGAUAAGUUAGGGGUGAAAUCCCGAGGCUCAACUUCGGAAUUGCCUCUGAUACUGGUCGUCUAGAGAGUAGUUGCGGUAGGCGGAAUGUAUGGUGUAGCGGUGAAAUGCUUAGAGAUCAUACAGAACACCGAUUGCGAAGGCAGCUUACCAAGCUACUUCUGACGUUGAGGCACGAAAGCGUGGGGAGCAAACAGGAUUAGAUACCCGAGUAGUC
rnacentral:rRNA from 1 species